CCAGUAUUGUUCGUGCUGCUGA
rnacentral:miRNA from 1 species